UUCCACGAAAGCAGUAGAGAAUUAUUGCCAAAUCUCGAUUGAAAAAGCCCGAUCAUGAGUGAUAGGUCUGUUUGGAGGAUUAAGUCGAUCUGAAGUUGGUAUAAUUCCGAGGAAAUGUGUAACUCAGGAGGAACACCAGAAGGUAAUUUCAUGCUGCCCACAUUUUUGUUACAGGACAUUUUGACUUGAAAUUCAACACAUGCCAUCAGUGGCCGGUCACAAAGGUCUGUGGACCAAGUGCAAGUUCGUUUGAAUUGUAGAUGACAUUUCCCCCAGGGUAAUGCUGACAGAGCUGGAGAAGCCUGAAAUCUCUAUUUUUCGGUAUCAUCUUUAUCAUCAUUGUGUUCUUAGGAGAACCAGAGUCCUGUGCUAAGUCUAUUCUCAAUAGCAUUCCACACCUCUCCAGAAUUUUUAAGUCAUUGGGACAAAAUAUGCAUUGAGGAUCUGGAAUGUCGGAAGCAUAGCACACAUAUACAUAUAUGCCAUGAGAUCUAUGCAAUAUUAUUCAGCAGUAAAAAGAAUGCAAUACUGAUCCAUGCUGCAGCAUGGAUGAGCCUGGAAAACAUUAUGCCCAGUGAAAGAAGCCAGGCACAAAAGACCCUGUAUUGUGAUUCCAUUUCAGAAAUGCCUAAAUAGGCAAAUCCACAGAGAUAGAAAUUAAAUUCGUGCUUGCCAGAGGGUAGGGGGAGAGAGGAAUGGGUACUGACGGCUGAUGGGUUUGGGGUUUUGUGGAGGAGGGAAAUGUUUGGGAUUAGAUGAGGGGUGAUAAUUGCCCAACCCAGUGACUUCAUUAAAAGCCACUCAGGAGUUCCCUGAUGGCCUACUGGCUUGAGGAUCUGGCAUUGUCACUGCUGUGGCUCAGGUCACUGCUGUGGCAUGGGUUCCAUCCCUGGCUCAGGAACUUCCGCGUACUGUGAGCAUGGGCAAAAAAUAAGACACUCGGAGUUCCCAUCGUGGCUCAGUGGCUAACGAAUCCGACUGGGAACCAUGAGGUUACGGCGCCGGAUCCUUAACCCACGGAGCAAGGGCAGGGACCGAACCGGCAACCUCAUGGUUCCUAGUCAGAUUCGUUAACCACUGAGCCACGACGGGAACUCCUGUAGUCAGAUUCUUAACCCACUGCACCACAGGGACAACUCUGAUGACUGUCAUUUAUAUUGUCUCCAAAUCAGGUAGUGUCAGUCGUCCAGCUUUCUUCUUCUCUUUCAACACUGUCUUGGCUCUUUUGAGUCUUUUGCCUCCUCAUACAAACUUCAGAAUGAGUUUGUUCGUAUCCACAGUAUGACUUGCUGGGAUUUUGAUUGGGAUUGCCUUGAAUCUGUACAUCAAGUUGAGAAGAACUGACAUCUUGACACUCUUGAGUCGUCCUAUCCAUGAACAUGUGAUACUUCUCCAUUUAUUUAGUUCUUUGGGGGGGUGCACCUGUGGCAUGUGGAAAUUCCCAGGCUAGGGAUCGAACCCCCACCAAAGCAGCAACCUGGGCUACUGCAGUGACAAUGCUGGAUUCCUUAACCUGGAACUCCACUUCUUCUUUGCUUUCAUUCAUAAAGUUUUAUAAUUUCUCUUAUAUAGAUAUUGUACAAAUUUUGUUAUAUUUAUACCUAAGUAUUUCAUUUUUGGAGGGGUGCUCAUGCUCACUGUGGUAUGACUUUCAAAUUCUGUGUGUUCCUUGCUGGAUUUUAUGAAAAUAAUUGACUUGUGUAUAUUAAAUCUGUAUCCUCCAAUCUUACUAUAACUGCUUAGUAAUUCCAGGAGGGUUUUGUUGGUCGAUUAUUUUAGAUCUUGUACAUAGAUGACCACAUUACCUGUGAACCUGGUAGAGAUCCAGGAGGUAAAAUUCACAAAAGUGGGAGGGCUGCCUGAUGAUUGGGUUUCCCUGAGUUUUGUAACUGUCUGUUGUCCACACUGAAUCCCCAGCAAUUCAUCAGUUACAGCUCAGGUUCCCCUCCCCGAGCACUAGUGCCUUUGGAGAUUGCUGCUCCAAUAAGUCGUGAUUCUCUCUACUCACCUGUUGGUCUCUCCAAUUUUUGGCAGCAUCAGGGUGCCCUGUGACCUCCUUUCUCUAAUGGAUCUAGGGAGAAUUAUGUUUCAGUUUGUUCAGAAUGGUACUUGUUGGGUGGGGCAGUAUCUUCCAAGCGUCUUACUUGCCAGACCAGACACCCUAAGUUCUGAUGCAAUUUUUUAAAGAUAAAAUUGACAUACCACAGAAUUUACCAUUUUAAUUAUAUGAUUCACUUUUUUAAAGUACAUUCACAAGUAUAUGCAACCACUACCAUUAGCUAAUUCCAGAGCAUUUUAAUUACCCCCAGAAGAACUUCUGUAUCCAUCACCAGUCACUCUCUCGCUUCCCCCCUCACCUCGGGCCCUGAUUACCGCUAAUCUACUCUAUGUCUGUAGAGAUUCGCCUAUCUUUGACUUUUAAUACAAGUGGAAUUAUACAAUACAUGGCCUUUGGUUUCUGAUUUCUUUCUUUAAGCAUGUUUUCAGGGCUCAUUCAUAUUGCGGCUUGCAUCAGUACUUCAUUCUUUCUUAUGGCUGAAUAACUUUCAUUGGAUGGCUAUACCAAGUGUUUUUUGGUUUUGGUUUUGUCUUUCCUAGGGCAGCACCUGCAGCCCAUGGAGCUUCCCAGGCUGGGCGUCUAAUCGGAGCUAUAGCCGCCGGCCUAAGCCAGGGCCACAGCAACUCAGGAUCUGAGCCCCGUGUGUGGCCUACACCACAGCUCACGGCCACGCCGGAUCCUUCACCCACGGAGCAAGGCCAGGGAUGGGACCUGCAGCCUCACGGUUCCUAGUCGGAUUCAUUAACCACUGCGCCACGACGGGAACUCCUAUACCAAGUUUUCCAUUGAUGGAUAUGUGGGUUGUUUCUACUUUUUAGCCAUUAUGAAUGCAACUGCUCUAAGUUUUUCAUGUGCAAGUUUUGACGGGAACAUGUUUUCAGUGCUCUUGCGUGUAUGCCUGGGCGUAGAAUUGCUGCAUCAUAUGCUAACUCUAAAAAUAGCCCAACAAAAGCAACAGCAGAAACAUAAAUGACACGAGUCCCAACACCAAGAUUUUCAACUAUUUUUCGUUCAAAACUUAUUUUCCACCUCAUUCCUUUCAUGUAAGAUAAAAUAUCAAGUACAAUCAAACCCAUACAAUGUUUCCAUUUGAUGUAGACUGGCUUUCAGGGCUUUUAGCAGCCAGUGAGAAGGAACACAACUCUUUGGGUUAUUUUCUUUUUACAAGCCGAUGAUCAUGAGUGGCUUGAAAAAUUUAAACAUUUGCAGUGCUCGUUUUUUUAAAAAUUGAGUCAGGUAAUGGUUACAGCAAAAAAAAAAAAAAAAAAAAAAAAAAAAAAAAA
rnacentral:lncRNA from 1 species